rnacentral:rRNA from 1 species
CGGCAGCACAGGAGAGCUUGCUCUCUGGGUGGCGAGUGGCGGACGGGUGAGGAAUACAUCGGAAUCUACUUUUUCGUGGGGGAUAACGUAGGGAAACUUACGCUAAUACCGCAUACGACCUACGGGUGAAAGCAGGGGAUCUUCGGACCUUGCGCGAUUGAAUGAGCCGAUGUCGGAUUAGCUAGUUGGCGGGGUAAAGGCCCACCAAGGCGACGAUCCGUAGCUGGUCUGAGAGGAUGAUCAGCCACACUGGAACUGAGACACGGUCCAGACUCCUACGGGAGGCAGCAGAAGGGC